rnacentral:lncRNA from 1 species
UCUUGCUAUUGUGGAAUACUGUGCAAUUGAAAAUAUUUGCUAUUGCACAAUACUGUGCAAUUGAAGAUUUCUUGCUAUUGCACAAUACUGUGCAAUUGAAAGAUUUCUUGCUAUUGCUGAAUACUGUGCAAUUGAAAAUUCUUGCUAUUGCACAAUACUUAAUAUAAUAAUUUUGGAUCCUGAUUUGGACCAACUUGAAAACUGGGCCCAUAAUCAAAAAUCUAAGUACAUGUUUAGAUUCAGCAUAUCACAGAGGCCCAAUAAUUCAAUUUUUGUUAAAAUCAAACUUAGUUUAAUUUUGGAACCCUUUGGACGUUAAUGUAAACCAAUUUUAAAACGGGACCAAAAAUUAAGAAUCUACAUACACAGUUAGAUUUGGCAUAUCAAAGAACCCCA